GACGAACGCUGGCGGCGUGCCUAAUACAUGCAAGUCGAGCGGACUUAAAAAGCUUGCUUUUUAAGUUAGCGGCGGACGGGUGAGUAACACGUGGGCAACCUGCCUGUAAGACUGGGAUAACUUCGGGAAACCGGAGCUAAUACCGGAUAAUCCUUUUCUACUCAUGUAGAAAAGCUGAAAGACGGUUUACGCUGUCACUUACAGAUGGGCCCGCGGCGCAUUAGCUAGUUGGUGAGGUAACGGCUCACCAAGGCGACGAUGCGUAGCCGACCUGAGAGGGUGAUCGGCCACACUGGGACUGAGACACGGCCCAGACUCCUACGGGAGGCAGCAGUAGGGAAUCUUCCGCAAUGGACGAAAGUCUGACGGAGCAACGCCGCGCGAGUGAUGAAGGUUUUCGGAUCGUAAAACUCUGUUGUUAGGGAAGAACAAGUACGAGAGUAACUGCUCGUACCUUGACGGUACCUAACCAGAAAGCCACGGCUAACUACGUG
rnacentral:rRNA from 1 species